AGCCCACCAUCGACGUGCAGACAUUGUCCGGUAAUGAAGCCGGCCAUGUCGGACGCCAACAACGCGACCCCUCCGGCGAUGUCAUCGGGACGGGCAAGGCGGCCAAGAGGCGUCAUGGCAAUGAUUCGUUCACGAACAUCCUCGGUGGUGGCUGCGCUGGAUGCGGUUCCGGCCGUCAAACCUGCGGCAAUGGCAUUAACGGUAAUGCCGAAGCCGCCCAGCUCCUGGGCCAGAGAGCGGGUCAUGCCGACCAAGCCGCCUUUGGCAGUGAUAUACGAAUGGUAGGGCACGAUGGGCGAAUCGACCAGAUUGCUGGAGAUGUUGAUGAUACGCCCGGAGGUCUGGGCUCGCAUCAGCGGCACCACAUGUGAGCACAUCAGAUAUGCACCAUGCAGGCAUCCCUCGAUCUGUGCGCUAAACUCAUCCCAAUCGCCUCCAGCAAAAGUGGAACGGCGACGCGGGUCAAAGGAGAAGCGUCCGAAAGCAUUAUUCACUAAGAUGUCCACGCCGCCGAAUGAGUCGACAGCGGUACCCACUAGCUUGGAAGAUUGCGAUUCAUCGCAAACAUCCGCCUGUACAGCUAUAGCCGAGCCUCCCAGCGAGUGGAUGUCUUCAGCAGUGCGCUGCGCGCUGGCGGCGUCAUGUACGUAAUUGAUGACGACAGCGGCUCCGUGCGAUGCCAGGCAUUUCGCCACAGCCGCUCCUAUGCCCUUGCCGGAACCGGUGAUGAUCGCUGUUCUGCCAUCCAGAUUCACCAUUGGACGCCGUGCCAUAUCGCUUUGCUCUGUCAUUACCCUUGCCUUUCGCCCUGCUACCAGCCUCUGCUGCCCGCAACAGCACAGGCCUAUUCCAUAUCCAUAUCGAACGAAUCGCUGUACGCGUCGCUGCCGCGUUCGACAUCCACCGCGCGCAACAGAUCGAUGAGGUUGAAGCCCCCAUCAUGAUGCCAGCCGGAUUUCGCCCGAUCCAUCUCACCGAGCGGACAGAUGCGAUUCACACCGACCUCGGCCAAUGUAUCUGCAAGACCAAACAGUCUGGUUGAAUCCACAGCGACACCGCAGCUCUGCAGCCAGCCACGGCAGGAAGUCAGUCUUCUGGCAGCGUCCAACAAAUCUGGCACCGCCACCACGUUGACGGUGCGGUUCAACGGCGACAUCAGCGAAGCAACAUCCUCGUCGGCACCGCUACCGUCAAGUUCUCGAUACAGCACCGACCAUGCCGUGCUAUGGCCACUGGCGAACACCGCGGCCUUCCCGCCCAUCAAGGCUCUCAUCUCAGCGUCGGUGCGCGCCCGCUGAAUGGCCACGUUCUCGGCGUCACUCAGACACAGGUGGUCACGUAGAGAAUACCAAGGCGCUUGAGAGAACUCGGGUGAAGGAACUAGGCAAAAUGGUGCCGUAACUUCGGGAGAAGGCACGCUGAUAUGUAGGUGAAGUCCCUUGCGGAUGGAGCUGAAAUCAGUCGAAGAUACCAGCUGGCUGCAACUGUUUAUUAAAAACACAGCACUGUGCAAACACGAAAGUGGACGUAUACGGUGUGACGCCUGCCCGGUGCCGGAAGGUUAAUUGAUGGGGUUAGCGGUAACGCGAAGCUCUUGAUCGAAGCCCCGGUAAACGGCGGCCGUAACUAUAACGGUCCUAAGGUAGCGAAAUUCCUUGUCGGGUAAGUUCCGACCUGCACGAAUGGCGUAAUGAUGGCCAGGCUGUCUCCACCCGAGACUCAGUGAAAUUGAACUCGCUGUGAAGAUGCAGUGUACCCGCGGCAAGACGGAAAGACCCCGUGAACCUUUACUAUAGCUUGACACUGAACAUUGAGCCUUGAUGUGUAGGAUAGGUGGGAGGCUUUGAAGUGUGGACGCCAGUCUGCAUGGAGCCGACCUUGAAAUACCACCCUUUAAUGUUUGAUGUUCUAACGUUGGCCCGUUAUCCGGGUUGCGGACAGUGUCUGGUGGGUAGUUUGACUGGGGCGGUCUCCUCCUAAAGAGUAACGGAGGAGCACGAAGGUUGGCUAAUCCUGGUCGGACAUCAGGAGGUUAGUGCAAUGGCAUAAGCCAGCUUGACUGCGAGCGUGACGGCGCGAGCAGGUGCGAAAGCAGGUCAUAGUGAUCCGGUGGUUCUGAAUGGAAGGGCCAUCGCUCAACGGAUAAAAGGUACUCCGGGGAUAACAGGCUGAUACCGCCCAAGAGUUCAUAUCGACGGCGGUGUUUGGCACCUCGAUGUCGGCUCAUCACAUCCUGGGGCUGAAGUAGGUCCCAAGGGUAUGGCUGUUCGCCAUUUAAAGUGGUACGCGAGCUGGGUUUAGAACGUCGUGAGACAGUUCGGUCCCUAUCUGCCGUGGGCGCUGGAGAACUGAGGGGGGCUGCUCCUAGUACGAGAGGACCGGAGUGGACGCAUCACUGGUGUUCGGGUUGUCAUGCCAAUGGCACUGCCCGGUAGCUAAAUGCGGAAGAGAUAAGUGCUGAAAGCAUCUAAGCACGAAACUUGCCCCGAGAUGAGUUCUCCCUGACUCCCUGAGAGUCCUGAAGGAACGUUGAAGACGACGACGUUGAUAGGCCGGGUGUGUAAGCGCAGCGAUGCGUUGAGCUAACCGGUACUAAUGAACCGUGAGGCUUAACC
rnacentral:rRNA from 1 species